CGGAGUGACGGUGUUCCGGUGUUUCCCCGGAUAUCUGUGUGACGUCAUCCUUCUCCAUUCAUCCUACAUUCUCUUGGAGUCGGUGCUUUCUCCGUGGGAACACCGAUGGAUUCCACUACCGCUUCUUCAGGGAACUUGAACAAGUUUACUUUCACUCGCCCCUGCGCUCAAGGGCUCCAAGAGCACAGCUUCCAAGAGCACCAGGCCCAUUUUUCUCGCAGAAAGAGGAGAAAAGGAAAAGCUGGAGAGGCGCCUUUAAUGGCGACAAGUCAACGGAAAAGUAGAUAUGGGCAUCCUGAUAAUCAAAGGUUGGCUUCCUUCGCAUCCUCUGAUAAAAUCGGCAAGCCAAGUGUGCCAGUGAUGGCCACAGGCGGUAUUAUGGAAGUGGAUCCCUCUGCUUCAGAUUCCAUUUUCAGAAGUCACAAAAGGUUGAAAACGAAAUAUUUUCAUGAAAAGGAUAAUAAAUGAGACCAGGAUUGGUAUAGAGAAAGAUUCUUAAAUUUUACUGCACUGGCCGGCCUAGGGAAGAGAAUGCGUGCAAAAAACAGAUUUCCAGGACUUUCUUUGAAAAUUUUGGAUUCUGGAGGCCUAUAGAGGAGACCAAAAAUCAGCCUUUUUAAAAUUAAUUAAAUUAUUUUUAUUUGUUUGUUUUUAAUGUUUAUUUUUGAGAGAGAGGGAGAGAGAGAGAGAGAGAGACAGCGUGUGAGCAGGGGAAGGGCAGAGAAAGACGGAGACACAGAAUCCACAGCUGAGCUGUCAGCACAGAACCUGAUGCUGGGCUCGAACCCAUGAACUGCGAGAUCAUGACCCGAGCCGAAGUCAGACGCUUAACCGACUGAGCCACCCAAGCACCCUGAAAAUCAGCCUUUUUAAAAGCUCCACUCCCACCCAUCAUUCUGCCACUGCCUCAGGACUCCAGUCUGAGAAACUGGUCUAGAGAGGGUCCUCAGGAGGCAUUUGUUGAUGGUAGACUGGUUCCUGGAUGGGCCCUCCUCAGGGCCCAGGCCCUGCUCUGCCUCAGGUGUUCAAGAUUCAUCCACUGGCAUAAGUGGGCCCAGUACCCAGUUUAGGAGUUUACCCAUCCUGAUUUCACUGGGGACGGUUACUGUGGUGGAACAGUGAACACUAAGGACAAAGCACUGGAUGAUUUGGUUUGAGUCAAUGUGCCAGGCCUCAGCCUCCACUAGCUGCUGUCCAGCCCUGGGAGAGGCAUAAAGGGGAGUGUGGGGAAGCUCUGGGAGGCACCCUUCAUCUAGAGGGAGGUCAGCCCUCCAAACUCCUGUCCACCCACACUGGCCACCCCGCCUGCAGCCACCAUGCCCCAGGGCCAUGCCCAGAGCAGGACAGUCUCCCUCCCCAUCCAGCCCCCUCCAGGUAUCUAGGGAUGACAGUGGAUUUUUGUAUCUCAGCAUGAGUGCAAGGACGCCCUCCCCCCAUGGGCUCAGAGAACCUUCUGGGAACUAUUCAAAGCUGCCAGAAGUCGGUUUUUCUUGCUGGAAGCACCUCUUGAGAGUUUACAUUUAUAAAGCCUGGCAAAAUACAUUCUGAAGAACCCAAAUUAAUUUGCAAAGAUGAGGUGAAAAGGGGCCAUAGCAUCCCACAGAUGGGCUCCCUCUGGGAAGCUACUUAUCCACAGUGGUUCCCCCUCUGCCACCCCGGGAAGACAUCCCACUCCCCAUUCAGAUGGCUCAGCCCUGCCAGAGGGCGUCAUGGUAAGAGAAAGAAAAGAAAAAAAGAGAAAAAAGAAAAAGGAAAAAUGCUAGUCUUCACCUCUGUCUAUUGUACACCAUGUCAUCCGAGAAGAAUUCUACUGCACUUCUUCCUUGACUGUGCUCUUUAUAUUCUGUAAGCCACUUCCUGUUUCCAUUUCUGGGUCAUAAGCCAAGCUUACAGUUGGUAUGAUUCACUCAGCCAGGAGGCCCAGCUAUUAUCACCCCUCAGAGAUCAUGGCUGCCUCUCAGGGAGGGAUCAGAGGAUACAACUUGGAAGGAGAAGAUAUCGGUUCAUUCUUAGGAAAACAUAUGAAUUUUCCUAGGCUUUUUGGAAUGCUUCAUGCCUAGGACCAGAAGGUUGGCAUGCCUGAAAAAUCUGUGACUUGAUUGGUUUGCAUUUUUCUGCUGUACUGAUGCCCAGCUCCUCAGCUCCUUGGAGAGACUUUUUGCAAAGACCUCACUGGAUGCUUUGCUUUGCCAAGGGGUCAGGCCUGCCAGGCAAUCUUCAGGCAGCAGCUGGUAGUCCCUGAGGAAGACAUGAACAAGAAGCCAUUUGAAAGCAUUAUCUUCUAGAAACUAAAUUUCAAAACAAGGAAGAAACCACAGCUCAGAUGGAAACUGCAUUUCCCGCCUCUGUUGAGUUAGGAGUGGUCAUGUGACUGAGUUUCAGACAACUGGAAAGUGGGCAGAAGAAGUGAUCUGAAAUCAGAGGAUCCGCUGAAGAACUCCAAGUCACUGCCAAAUGGAAAGCCAUCAUAUGAAUAAAUUCUGUUUCCAGAGGACUGGGUAGAGCUCCUUCCACCCCCACCAACCAGAUGACCUAUACUGAACUGUAAUUAAAGAGAAAUAAGUCUUUACUGUGUUAAGCCAAUGA